rnacentral:rRNA from 1 species
GCUGGCGGCAGGCCUAACACAUGCAAGUCGAACGGUAACAGGAAGCAGCUUGCUGCUUCGCUGACGAGUGGCGGACGGGUGAGUAAUGUCUGGGAAACUGCCUGAUGGAGGGGGAUAACUACUGGAAACGGUAGCUAAUACCGCAUAACGUCGCAAGACCAAAGAGGGGGACCUUCGGGCCUCUUGCCAUCGGAUGUGCCCAGAUGGGAUUAGCUAGUAGGUGGGGUAACGGCUCACCUAGGCGACGAUCCCUAGCUGGUCUGAGAGGAUGACCAGCCACACUGGAACUGAGACACGGUCCAGACUCCUACGGGAGGCAGCAGUGGGGAAUAUUGCACAAUGGGCGCAAGCCUGAUGCAGCCAUGCCGCGUGUAUGAAGAAGGCCUUCGGGUUGUAAAGUACUUUCAGCGGGGAGGAAGGGAGUAAAGUUAAUACCUUUGCUCAUUGACGUUACCCGCAGAAGAAGCACCGGCUAACUCCGUGCCAGCAGCCGCGGUAAUACGGAGGGUGCAAGCGUUAAUCGGGAUUACUGGGGCGUAAAGCGCACGCAGGCGGUUUGUUAAGUCAGAUGUGAAAUCCCCGGGCUCAACCUGGGAACUGCAUCUGAUACUGGCAAGCUUGAGUCUCGUAGAGGGGGGUAGAAUUCCAGGUGUAGCGGUGAAAUGCGUAGAGAUCUGGAGGAAUACCGGUGGCGAAGGCGGCCCCCUGGACGAAGACUGACGCUCCAGGUGCGAAAAGACGUGCGGGAGCAAACAGGAUUAGAUACCCUGGUAGUCCACGCCGUAAACGAUGUCGACUUGGAGGUUGUGCCCUUGAGGCGUGGCUUCCGGAGCUAACGCGUUAAGUCGACCGCCUGGGGAGUACGGCCGCAAGGUUAAAACUCAAAUGAAUUGACGGGGGCCCGCACAAGCGGUGGAGCAUGUGGUUUAAUUCGAUGCAACGCGAAGAACCUUACCUGGUCUUGACAUCCACAGAACUUUCCAGAGAUGGAUUGGUGCCUUCGGGAACUGUGAGACAGGUGCUGCAUGGCUGUCGUCAGCUCGUGUUGUGAAAUGUUGGGUUAAGUCCCGCAACGAGCGCAACCCUUAUCCUUUGUUGCCAGCGGUCCGGCCGGGAACUCAAAGGAGACUGCCAGUGAUAAACUGGAGGAAGGUGGGGAUGACGUCAAGUCAUCAUGGCCCUUACGACCAGGGCUACACACGUGCUACAAUGGCGCAUACAAAGAGAAGCGACCUCGCGAGAGCAAGCGGACCUCAUAAAGUGCGUCGUAGUCCGGAUUGGAGUCUGCAACUCGACUCCAUGAAGUCGGAAUCGCUAGUAAUCGUGGAUCAGAAUGCCACGGUGAAUACGUUCCCGGGCCUUGUACACACCGCCCGUCACACCAUGGGGAGUGGGUUGCAAAAGAAGUAGGUAGCUUAACCUUCGGGAGGGCGCUUACCACUUUGUGAUUCAUGACUGGGGUGA